GCUGGAGAGAAUGAGCUUGGAGCCGCAGGGCUUAAUCCCGCGCGGCUCAGAGAUGGGUUUCUGGACUCGCGAAGCAGCUGCAACAAGGCAUCACUCACUGUAUAAGUAUUUCCAUUUCUGAGAGCAAAAGGAAGAACUUAAGCGGGCGGCACUUGGAGUGUAAAUUGCUUUGUAGUAUUUAAAGGCAGAAUGGAUCCUGGGCAGCCGAGCUGCAACAAACCGGCAGGACUUCCUGUGAAAUCAUGACCACCAUGUGCUCUUUCAGCCUCUAUCAGUUCCUACCUCUAAGCACCUGAGAGCCAAAGCAAACCACAGGAAACCACAGGCCUUUGGAGUCAGACUGGAACUACAGCAUUGACUCUUCCGGAACUCCAGCUUACUGACUACAGAUCUUGGAACUUUUCAGCUUCCACAACCAUAAUGAAAGCCAAGCAUAUUCCAUCAUUUCCUAAAACCAAGAUAGAGCACAUAUGGGAACUUGUGAAAUAAGGAUGCCCUGCGGUUGUUUUCAGGACUGAAGACAACAGCUCCACGAUGUAUCUUUGCAUAAGAAUACACUUGUAUAAUAAGUUUUUUUUUUUAGAGAAAUUGCAUGUAUCUGCCUUAUAAACUUUUUCAUUCAUUCAUUUUCUUUCUUCCUAAUCUGUUCCAUAAAGCAAAUUUCUAACUUAUUGUUAAUCAAAAUAAUUAUUGAAAUAAUUAGUACUUUCAUAUGAUAAAGAUUAUUUUAAUCUGCAGCUACAAAAUAUGUAACUCAUUAAUAUUUAAACAAUCACAAUUUUCUAUUAACAUUAUAGCAUUUUAUCUACUACUAGAUCAGGAAUUAGCUAUUUUUUGUAAAAUUUCUUUGUAAGGCAAAGCAAUAGUAUUGUAUAUACUUUCCUAAAGAUUGUCAAGUUCAGUUUUGCUUAAAUUUAACAGUACAUGUGACACUUUCUGUUUGAAGAAUAAGUUGGUUUUAAGUUUAUACCAAACAAAAGCAUCUCUUUUGUUUUGCAAAAUCUGAAACUUUGAUCUUUCUAGUUGUGACUUCUUGUAAAUAUGUUUUAUAUAAAUAUUCUAUGAAUUGGUUAUUAACAAGGUAAAGAAAGAUUGAUAUGUAAGCUGAUUCUUAAACAUUAAUUUUCUGGAGAUAAACUUUUUUAAAAUUAUGCUUUAAAAAUAUUUUAACACAUGUUAUCAAAAAGGAACUGAAAUAUCUUAGGCAUAAAAGACAUCUCUAGAGGUCAUUAUUCAGUUUCCAGAAAGUACUGAAACUAUCUCUGACAGAUUGAUACGUUUUCUGCAUUUAUAGCUCUCUGGAGAGAGGUUCUGUAUAUUUAACAAUUCUCACUGUGAGGGAUAUUUUAAGUAUUUCAAAUUUAAAGUGCUCAUGUUUCAGAUUCAGAUUAUUAUUAUCAUCAUCAUUAUUUUGGUUCUGGCUUCAGUAAAAAUGUGAAAAACACUUUUCCAUCUUCUGAUAAUAUUUCAUAUUUAUAAAAUUAUUAUUAAGUUAUAACUCAGCUUUUUCAUUUAUGCUUUAAAUCCUUUUAUUAUCUCAUCACAACCAUCUUUGACUGUUUAUCAGAAAUGGUUCUCUUUUGUACAUUGACCAUUAUUUUAUAGAUCACAUUUAAGUUAAUAUAAAUCAUGCCUAUAAAUUUCAGCCUGCUUAUUUUUUAUAAUCUAGUCAGAUAUCAGCUAGACAUAUUGUUACCAAGUUUGGAGAGCCUUGGGAUAAGCUAGUUUCAAAACUGGCUGUUAGCAUCCCUCAGUUGUGUUUUGGGAGCAAAGGACACCCUUAAAAAAGGGAGGCAGUUAUAUUUUGUGAGCAUUAUAAAAUAAACUUAAAUUCUCAUAAAAUUAGUGAAUAUGUUUGGAACAGUGUGAAUUACGUGUGUGCUACAUGAAGUAUAUAGAAUUCAUUUGAAGUAGGAAGUCUGGCCUUACCUCAAAAGACAGUCAUUCAAUUAAGCAGUUAAACAUAAGCCACCAUAAGAAGUUUUUUUGAUACUUAGAGAGAGAAAGGCAACGUGUAUUAAAAUUCCGGGACCAUUAUCUCAGGAGUGCUGUGUUAUUAUUGACUGGGGGCCUGCUGGGAAGCUAGAAAUAUAUCUAAAAUGUGGCAGGUGGUUAAUUAGAGCAUAUGAAUAAAUAUAUAUAAAUUUGUUAAAGCGUUCACUUAUGGUAAACUAUACCUCAAUUAAAAAGAAAAAAUAUGCACAAAGAAAAUAAAUAAUGAAUGGAAAUAUGAGCCUCUAAAAUCAAAGUUAGAAAAGCAGAUAUUCAAAUUUGCAGAGCUGAUUGUCAACUGGAAUGAUUGUGAUAGAAUCAAGUCUCACUAGCUCAUUGGAAAUAGGAUUUGUUAAGGUAAUGAUGGUUAAUGAUUUUUCAGCAUAAUAACAGCCAAGUUAAUGUAUGGGUGCGUGUGUGUAUCCAUAGGUGUAUGUUUUUACAUGCGUAUUUUUAUUGUAAAAUUAACAUGUUUAUUGAAAACAAGAAAGCACAGAAAAUAUCAACUUAAGUAAAGAUCAACAUAAUUUAGUUCAAAAUUAUAUUCAACAGUGCAUUAUUUCAAUGUUUUUUAUCUUAAUCCAUUUGCUUGAAAGCAUUGAUAUAUGCUCCAAAUUUCCUCCCAGAUUCCACUUGGGGAAAUAUUUAGUAUAUUGGAUUAUGAAAUGAUUUAUCUUUACCUAUAUUAUUAGUAAAGUUCUUAAAAUUUUUAGCCUGUUACUGUCUAUGUGAUUAGUGAUAUUGUUCACAUGACUAAAAUUCAAAGAUAAAAUAUGAUUAUAUUUUAUGGGUGAAAGUUAGGAAGCAAAAUAGCAUAUUAAUACAUUUAACUAAAGUAGUAUUCAUUUGGAUAAUCAAGGUCAAACACUUCAAAAAUAAUAAUUUUAAAGUUAAUGCUUUCAAAAAAUAAAUUAGCAAAAAUUAUUUACUUUGUUUCUUAAAAAGAAGAAUUAUUGAAAAAAAUUCUACCAUCAAAAAAUAGUUGUUCUAUGCCUAGUUUAUUUUAGUCACUGAAUAAGACUGAGCCCUUGACCUCAUAUUUUUUCCUGCCUCACCAUUAGCAGUUAGGUUUAGCUAUGCAAACCUUUAUUUAUUCAACAUAUAUAAAAUACUUAGUAUGCAGUAGAUGUUAUUCUAAGUGCUUGGUAGAUAUCAACACAUUUAAUAAUCAAAACAACUCUAAGAGGUAAUUAGUACUAUUAUCUCCAUUUUAUUACUGAGGAAACCAAAGCACAAAGAGAGAAAGAAAAGAAAGAGAAAAAAGGAAGAAAGAAAAGAAAGAUGAAAGAAAGAAAGAGAAAGAAGAGAGAGGGAGAGAGAGAAAGAAAGAGAAGGAAAGAAAGAAGGAAGAAGAAAGAAAGAAAGAAAGAAAGAAAGAAAGAAAGAAAGAAAGAAAGAAAGAAAGAAAGAAAGAAAGAAAGAAAAAAGGAAGGAAGGAAAAGAAACACAUGGAAAGUGGUGAGGAUGGGGAGGUGUCAAACAAGACCUAACCUCUCAACAAUCAGCUGGACACUGUUGUGUAAGAAUGUGAAGCUUGGCACUGCUGCAGCCAUCUUGUUCCAGGAAGGGUAAAACCUGAGGUUAGAAGCCAACAUCCUAAUGAUGGCAGAGAAGACAAAGAGAACCAGAGUCUAAAUGACAUUGUUGAGUUAGAUCACUACACUACCUCUAGUCUUCUUUUUAUGUGUGAUAAUAAAUCUCACUUAUACUUAAGCCAUUUGAAGUUGAGUCUAAUGUUCAUUUCAGACCAAAGCAGCUUAACUGACAUGUUCUCCGCUUUGUUACCCUAUCCAGUUGUUUUCAUGCAGGAAAUAAAUCUCAAAU
rnacentral:lncRNA from 1 species